GAUGAACGCUAGCUACAGGCUUAACACAUGCAAGUCGAGGGGAAACGAUGAGAGAGCUUGCUCUCUUAGUCGUCGACCGGCGCACGGGUGAGUAACGCGUAUCCAACCUGCCUCUGACCAAGGGAUAACCCGUCGAAAGUCGGACUAAUACCUUAUGCAGUCGUCGGAAGUCAUCUGAUGACGACGAAAGAUUUCAUCGGUGAGAGAUGGGGAUGCGUCUGAUUAGCUUGUUGGCGGGGUAACGGCCCACCAAGGCGACGAUCAGUAGGGGUUCUGAGAGGAAGGUCCCCCACAUUGGAACUGAGACACGGUCCAAACUCCUACGGGAGGCAGCAGUGAGGAAUAUUGGUCAAUGGGCGUAAGCCUGAACCAGCCAAGUAGCGUGCAGGAGGACGGCCCUAUGGGUUGUAAACUGCUUUUAUGCGGGGAUAAAGUGAGGGACGUGUCCUUCAUUGCAGGUACCGAAUGAAUAAGGACCGGCUAAUCCCGUG
rnacentral:rRNA from 1 species